AGUGAACGCUGGCGGUAGGCCUAACACAUGCAAGUCGAACGGCAGCACAGUAAGAGCUUGCUCUUACGGGUGGCGAGUGGCGGACGGGUGAGGAAUACAUCGGAAUCUACUUUUUCGUGGGGGAUAACGUAGGGAAACUUACGCUAAUACCGCAUACGACCUACGGGUGAAAGCAGGGGAUCUUCGGACCUUGCGCGAUUGAAUGAGCCGAUGUCGGAUUAGCUAGUUGGCGGGGUAAAGGCCCACCAAGGCGACGAUCCGUAGCUGGUCUGAGAGGAUAAUCAGCCACAACGGAAACGAGAAACCGGCCAGACUCCUAAGGGAGGCAGGAGGGGGGAAUAUUGGACAAUGGGCGGAAGCCUGAUCCAGCCAUACCGGGGGGGUGAAGAAGGCCUUCGGGUUGUAAAGCCCUUUUGUUGGGAAAGAAAAGCAGCAGGUUAAUACCCCGCUGUUCUGACGGUACCCAAAGAAUAAGCACCGGCUAACUUCGUG
rnacentral:rRNA from 1 species